UACGGAGGGGGCUAGCGUUGUUCGGAAUUACUGGGCGUAAAGCGCACGUAGGCGGCUUUGUAAGUUAGAGGUGAAAGCCCGGGGCUCAACUCCGGAAUUGCCUUUAAGACUGCAUCGCUAGAAUUGUGGAGAGGUAAGUGGAAUUCCGAGUGUAGAGGUGAAAUGCGUAGAUACCCGGAGGAACACCAGUGGCGAAGGCGGCUUCCUGGUCUGCGACUGACGCUGUGGCGCGAAAGCUAGGGGAGCAAACGGG
rnacentral:rRNA from 1 species